UGAGGAAUAUUGGUCAAUGGGCGCGAGCCUGAACCAGCCAAGUCGCGUGAAGGAUGACUGUCUUAUGGAUUGUAAACUUCUUUUAUACGGGAAUAACAAGAGUCACGUGUGACUCCCUGCAUGUACCGUAUGAAUAAGCAUCGGCUAACUCCGUGCCAGCAGCCGCGGUAAUACGGAGGAUGCGAGCGUUAUCCGGAUUUAUUGGGUUUAAAGGGUGCGUAGGCGGUUUGUUAAGUCAGCGGUGAAAUCUAGAGGCUCAACCUCGAAACUGCCGUUGAAACUGGCGAACUUGAGUGUAGAUGAGGUAGGCGGAAUUCGUGGUGUAGCGGUGAAAUGCAUAGAUAUCACGAGGAACUCCAAUUGCGAAGGCAGCUUACUAAGGUACAACUGACGCUGAAGCACGAAAGCGUGGGUAUCAAACAGGAUUAGAUACCCUGGUAGUCCACGCAGUAAACGAUGAUAACUGGGCGUAUGCGAUAUACAGUAUGCUCCUAAGCGAAAGCGUUAAGUUAUCCACCUGGGGAGUACGCCGGCAACGGUG
rnacentral:rRNA from 1 species